GUUGCUGAGGAAUCCUGAUACCAAGGGACACGUAGAGAGAGUGAGCAUCAGAAUAGGGUUGAAGUUGACAAAAUGGACGGUGCAAAUGGGCCGAGUCAUUCAUCAAUAUCGAGGGAAUCAUUGCAUAUGGAUAUGGGUUAGGUCUUGGAUUUUAUUUCGCUUCGAAUCGAUACGCAAUUUGAAAUAAGUACAUUACAUAUUUUUUGUACUCCAAUAGAUCCAAACUUUAUGAUGACUGUGCCAACCCUCAACCAAUGGCCAGUACAAGCGUGUUGCCCUCAUCUGUUCUCGGAAUCUCGUGACUGAGCUGUGUCCUUUUGCACAACACUCCAUUUCUUUCACCAUUUUGUUCCGUUUAUUUCACAGGUAAGCGUUUCAUGGUUGGAUCUAUGGGUUGUUCGUGUUCUUGGUACUUAGAAGAAGCUUAACCAGGUUUCUCUUAAUAAAAAUCCAAACUUUUUGUGUAAGACUGACCGGACUUCUUUAUGUUGGUUUUUGGAGUUUUCGUUUGUUUCACAGGUAAGCAUUUUAUGGUUGGAUCUAUGGGUUGUUUGUGUUCUUGGUACUUAGAAGAAGCUUAACCAGGUUUCUCUUAAUAAAAAUCCAAACUUAUCCAAACUUUUUGUGUAAGGCUGUAAGAAAUAUUAGCUGCAACUACAGUCAUCUGCAAUGAAACAAAAUCACAACUCUGCUGUGCUGUUUUAUUCAAAAUCUGUGAAGUUUUGUGAUGGUAACCAUACCUGGGACUCAUAGUAUAAACUGUAAUAAUCAAUUUAUGGUAGCCUUUCUUGGGUUGAUAAGGAUCUGUAUAGUUUGGAAACAUUAAAAUGUUUUUAGACUU